GGGUCAGUAGCUCAGUGGUAGAGCCACCGCUUCGCAUGCGGGAAGGCCUGCGUUCGAUUCCCGGCUGUCUCC
rnacentral:tRNA from 1 species